rnacentral:rRNA from 1 species
AUAUCAUAACGAAGAGGUAUCGUAAUUGAAGAGGUUUGGAAAGACCCACCACAGAAGGUAAUAGUCCUGGAUGUUAAACGAGAAGACUUUAGAUAUGAUCCAGAGUACCACGGGACACGUGAAACCCUGUGGGAAGCAGGAGGGACCACCCUCCAAGGCUAAAUACUACCUAGUGACCGAUAGCGUAUAGUACCGUGAGGGAAAGGUGAAAAGAACCCCG